AGCCCCUUAUUCAGUGUGUGUUUGCCAGCUCGGAGCACAACAGCGCCUUGGCUCACGUUCGUGUUCUCUCUCCUUGCCGUCAAGGGCCUGUUUGUGGUCGUUGCUCUCCCAUCUGGAGGAACUGCCUCAUUCGUUUGUCUCCUUUUGAAUUCGUGAAUGGUGAUCCGUUGUCAAGAUCGUCUCUCCCGUUACCGAACAACCGACUGGUGCUAAUGACUGUUCUAGUGCUCGUGAGAAAGGGUGGCAGGUAGGAAGCGGACUGAGGGAUCGGAUGCCUCGUGUAACCUGACGGCAAGGAGGAGGAGAGAAGGAAAAAGUCACCAUCCGAUAAGCGGGAGUUUGUGGUCUAAAUAAAGACUUGUCCCUGAUUGACAUGUGAAGUGAAUUUUCACCUUCCAAGGUUGCAGCUCUCCACGUUGAAUCUUGAAAAGAAGUCAUUCGUAGAUAUUAAUACCGUCAUCGGCUGCAUUACAGGAUUACUGCGAGGGCAAAGUGCACCUUCUGAUGAGGAACUUCUCGUCCACUCUGGAGGGACUGGGCCUUGGGACACUGUGACCACCCCUCCCCCCUUUGUAUUUAUUUGUUACGUCACGCUCGAGAACAAGCGAAGAUGAUCUCCUUGUCGGGGAUUUUGACUUUCAUAUACAACUCCCUCCUGGUGCUGUUCAUCUCGGCGCACUUAUUAGUAGGUGGAGCUCUAACGUUUGGAGCCGGUGUGUAUGCGGGAAUCUACAUCACACAAAAUUAUGAAGUUCCAAGAGUUGAUGAACCAAGCAAGCUAUGGGAGAAGGUUAAAGACUGGGCUGAAUCACAUAAGAAGAAGGACUAGAAUUAAAGAUGAUGACUUGAACUAUGUAGCUGAACUAAACUCGCCUGGGAUAAGCUGACAUGCUGUCGUUGAUAGGCCUAUACUACCAUAGUAAAUUACGAGGAAUUUAUAUAUAAUAUAGAUUAUUCCUAGUGUUAAGGAUAGGAGGUUAUGUAUAGACUUUGCCAUCUGUGGAAAAAUAUCUUUUAAGUACUUUUGUUAAACCUUUUAAUGUUCUAAAAAUCAUUGUUAUCUAGCACAAGUGCAAUAAGCCCAAAAGUACAUAUUUUUGUGAAUGCAUUGUACUUGUUUUAGACGUAAGUUUUACCUAUCAAAAGCCUCUUGUUAAUCAUGUUUUACAUUAAAUAAUCAUUUGCUUU